rnacentral:pre_miRNA from 1 species
UUGGUUUGUUCUAAGUCAAACUUGUUUAACUUUGACCAAAUUUAUAGAAAAAUGUAACAACAAUUAUACUAUCAAACAUAUGCACUAUCAAAACAUAUUCCAUAGUGGAUUCAACCAAACAAAUUAGGUACUGUAAAUGUUUCUAUAUUUUUUCUAUAAACUUGGUCAAAGUUGAACAAGUUUGACUUAUAACCAAAUACG